AGGAAGAAGGCUGUCUCUCACUCAGAGCAUGGAUAGGUUACGAAUUUAAAGUGCUGGUUUGUGCUGGACCAUCUUGGCUGUGAGUCCUGGAAGGCCUGCUCCCUGCAUUGGGAGGACAGAGCCCUGACUGACUCCAGCUACAAAGGCUGAGGCUGCUGAAGAGGCCACAGACCACCUUGACUGUCUCUUAGGCCAUUGAACCUGAGCCGCCAUUGGCAGAACUGGCAGCGACAGCGGCAGGUACGUUCUCUGCUUACGAUAAUAUUCUAUUCUGUUGUUAAUUACGCUGUUUUAAAUGUGCAUUUUAUAUUUGACUUCUUUUAGGAAGAUUUUCUUUUGAAAUGUUUUGAGAUUUCGUCGUCGUUAACUUUGCUGCGUUUAACGUACAUUCCAUCGUUGACCUUUGCAAUGUUUUAUUUUGAAAUCUUUCAUAUAUUUCAGCUUCCUGUUAAUUACGUUGCUUUGAAUGUAUACUUCAUAUUUUGUCUUUCUUCAAUAGUGUUUUCUUCUGAAUUGCUUUUUAUGACGAUUUCCUGCGUUGUCAACCGCUUUGAGAUUUUUUUCUUGAAAAUGUAAAGCGGUCUAGAGAGGAAACGAAUGAAUCAAAACAUUCUUUUUCCUCAUGUCUGUGAAAGAGAGAGAGACAUUUCUGCCAGCAAUAGCAUACAUUGCAAAAACUUCUGUCGCAAUGUGCUUGCUGGUCUUUUAAGGCACCUUGGGAUUUUAUGUUGCUUUUGCAACAACAGACUUAGGCAGCCCACCCUCCUAGAAAUCUUGCCUGCAGUCGCUGAUGGGAGAUGGUGUUUGUGUACCUUAUUAAACUUUCCAAUGGGAGAAGGCUUGGGAAGAAAUUGUUCCCAAAGAAGACACUGAGGAAGAGUGUAGACCAGGGGUCAGCAAACUUUCUCAGCAGGGGGCCGGUCCACUGUCCCCCAGACCUUGUUGGGGGCCGGACUAUAUUUUGAAGGGAAAAAAUGAACAAAUUCCUAUGCCCCACAAAUCACCCAGAGGUGCAUUUUAAUUAAAAGAACACAUUCUACUCAUGUAAAAAUGUGCUGAUUCCCGGACCAUCUGAGGGCCGGAUUUAGAAGGCGAAUGGGCCGGAUCCAGCCCCCGGGCCUUAGUUUGCUUACCCCUGGUGUAGACUGUGGCUGUGGCACUCUAAAAACACACACAACCCCUGUUAGAUGCCCUGGCUUGUUGGACGGGACGGCGGAUAAAGAGGCUCGGAGGAUGGAUGGGGAAAUAGGGCGGGGGGCUCUUGGUGGGAGCCAAAGGCAUGUCAAGCUGUCAGAGAUGCAAAAAGAGAUAAAUGAAUGGCUGGGCUCCAGCAUGAAUAAAUGAACUCUCCUCCUCUUGCUGGGCAAAAGGGUUAUAUGUGAUCCAGAGAGAAAGAGAGCAACAGCCCCCACCUCCAACUCUCCCCAUGGGUCCACAGAGUCGGGGGGGGGGGGGUCUGAGUCUAUCUGACAAGGGAAGAAGAAGAAUGGUGGAUGAAAUGAACAUGGAAGGCUCUGAUGGAGGGGGGCUAGCAAAGACCGCUUGAACCUGAUGCUUGUGUGGAGGGGAGCCGUUGUGUGUUUGUGUAUGAACUGAUCACCUGCGCCCUCCCUUGUAUUUCAUCCCCCUUCUGAAUCUGGCCUAGGCCUCUCCUUGCCGACUUGCGCAUCCCAGGGUGUUAUCUAUCCUCAGAGUCUAGCGAAGGAUUAAUUGUUGUUGUUGUUGUUGUUGUUGAUUACCAGCCCUCCACCUUAAGGUUGCAGCCAGGGCAGAUUUCAAUUAAAAAACAAAGACAGUCGAAAGCAACUUAAAAAUCACAGAAAUAAGGUGGGUCUUAAAAUAUAACCACGACCCUUUUUAACCCUUUCUCAGUGCGUUACGGAGCAAAGUCUAGCCCACUCUCCACACCUUGGUAUAACUUGUAUAAAUUCCUCAACCAGAAGCCCUGUUUAUUAACUAAGGAGAAGGGCUGCCCAUCAAUAUUAUUUCUAAUAUUACUGUUGUUAUGAUUGCUGAGUCUGCUCAGCAUCUUUCAAUAGCAGACUAGUGUUUGGCGUUUCGUUUGGUGCAAAGGAGAAAAGGCGGCAGCGUGCAUUAGGCUGAGGCCUCCAUCCUUUUGCGAACUCUGUGUGCUUUACUCCCAAGUAGACAUUAUUGGAUUGCCGUUGCUCUUUGAGGCGUAUUGGAUCUGUCAUUCAGACUGCUCUCGAAAGUGAUGGAUCAGGAUGUGUAAGGUAAGAAGGUGGCCUUAUAGCUCCAGGAGGUUCCUGAUGUCUGCGGCUUAUAAGGGUGUUUUAAUUCUCCCCAGAGCAAUAGGUGAGGCAGCCCUCUCUCCUUGCCAACCACCCCCAUAGUUAAAUAUCCAUAUUGGAGUCCGGAGGAGAAGGCACAGAACGCAGCGGUGGGCUUCUGGAAAUCUUACGGACGAGAGCGGAGCUGGGGUCAGAGGUCGCCAUGCUCAGGCAUCCGCCAAGGGGCUGCCCCCCUCCCACAGGGGGCCAACUAGCAAGAACUGUGGUGAGGAGGAGGCGGGGGACUGAUGGAGGCAGGGGAGGGGGGCAUGGAGGGUGCCAAUCCUGGCACCAACACCGGGCAAGAGCGAGGGUGUUUGUGUGAAUGCAUUUGCCUGGGCCCACCUUUGUGGAUGCUGUGAGGGGAGGGGGAAGGUGGGAUUGUGGGUUUGAAACCAAUCUCCCCCCACUCUCCCCCAAGUCCUAUCUAUUUAUCCUUCCAUGUGCCUGCACAUCUUUUAUUUUUUUCCCCACCCCUCCCUUUUCCCCUUUCUCCUCUUUUCUAAUUCUUCCUCACUCACCCCCCCCUUCUCCCCUUAGCUCCCGGGCUCCCCCAUGCAUGAAAAGAGCCCUUAUUUAAUUUAGUCGCCACGAAAAUCGAUUCUGCCAUUCGAUACAAAAUAAGAAUCAAGCAGAUUAAGGGACGGAAAUUAACUCUGAAAAUAUUUUUGAUGGAGUGCCUUGUAGUCUCCCCGCCAAAUGGACUGCAAAGUGGAACAAAUGACGGGCAGCUAGUGCUGGCGACAGGAGCUUUCCAUCUUCCCAUUAUCCACUAAUGGGAAAGGUCCCGCUCUCGAGCCUUGGCCCACGGAUUAAUCACAACCCAGCCUUUAUGAAGAUUUAUUUCUCCUUGCCGGCAGCCCGCGCCGGGAUGAAGUCAUAACGCUCGGGGGAGUGGAGCGCUCCCCGAAAGGAGGGGAGGAAGUGUUUAGAAAGGAAGAGGAGAGAGGGGAGCCGAAAUAAAUAAAAAAUAAAAAGAGAUGCUGGCUAAAAAUAGAGGAGGAAGGGGAGGACUGAACAGAGUAGGCCCCGGAGGAGAGGGAGGAUAGACUGAAAGCCAGAAAUUUAUUUCAUUUUAAACUUACACCCCGCUUUCCGUAUAGACAUUUGCGAAUCUCAGAGCGGCUCCCAACAGACAGCAAACGAUU
rnacentral:lncRNA from 1 species